GACGAACGCUGGCGGCGUGCCUAAUACAUGCAAGUCGAGCGAAACGGCGGGUGGGUGAGUAACGCGUGGGUAACCUGCCCUUAAGUCUGGGAUACGAUUUGGAAACAGAUGCUAAUACCGGAUACUAAAGGAUGGACCUGGGAGGCAUUAGCUAGUUGGUAAGGUAACGGCUUACCAAGGCGAUGAUGCAUGGCGGAGUUGAGAGGCUGAUCGGCACCAUUGGGACGGAGACACGGCCCAAACUCCUACGGGAGGCAGCAGUAGGGAAUCUUGCACAAUGGACGAAAGUCUGAUGGAGCAACGCCGCGUGAGUGAAGAAGGUUUUCGGAUCGUAAAGCUCUGUUGUUGGUGAAGCGGUAAUCAACCAGAAAGUCACGGCUAACUACGUGCCAGCAGCCGCGGUAAUAC
rnacentral:rRNA from 1 species